rnacentral:lncRNA from 1 species
GGCAUUCUAGUUCAUGUACAGGUACUGCUAUCUAAAAUCGCGAGUCACAAUCGGCUGUGGUGGCCAGCUAAAGUCGAACAAGCCUUGGCUUCGCGAGCUCGCUAGUUCGAUUGCUGGAGCGGCCACCUUUUUUUGCGUUAUUCUAGCUUUUUGUGAUCGCCACGCUUUUCCAUUACGGGCCGGCCCAACAACGCGCUGCUGCGGGCGCCAGCUACCUGUUCGGGCGCUUAAGGCGCCGAACAGGAGCUCCCCUCGGUGCCCAGGUUGGCGUCGAUGCAGGACCGGGCGCUGGGAAUUGACAUCGUAACUGUCGAUCUAUCGGGAUUAGAUUCCCAGCGCCCUCUCUUAACGUCUUCCGUUAAAGAUGCCCUAAGGGUCUUGAACAACAAGAUGGGGAAGACGUUGACCUAAUUCUUCAAUUAAUUGGACCUGACCAUGAGCGUGUGAGACCUUCAGACCGAACAUGGAUGAAACGACACGUACAGACGAUUCACCAACGAAUUUAUCUGAUUCCGACUAGCUACACACAAAAGGUACUGUAGCAAGCAUCUCUUUAGUUUUCCCCUCGCUAAAGAUUUAUACAAAGAUGAAGCGACACGAAUAUGAACUCUCCUAGCCGCCGUCCGUCGACCGACCGGUCGAUCAGUGCACGAGGUAGGUGACGGCGAGCGCGGCGGCCAUGAGCAGGUAGGCCACGGCCUGGUCGACCCUCCUGCCGUCGCCGGCCACGGCCGCCAACCCCUCCGCCUUGCUCGCUCCGCCCUGCGCCGCGCCGGCAGCGGGCACGUCGACGUUCGCCGCGCGAGCCAUCACGUGAUGACAGAAUCGGCUCGAUCGACGGCAGGGUUCUCCCCUUCCCUGGUGAGCCGGCGGAGAAGAAGAUGCUACUGGAACAAGAUCUGGAUCCGGGUUGUGGGUGUUGGUCGUGGCCAAUUUGUGCUUCGUGGGGAGGCGGUGGGUCUGGCGUGUUUAUAUAGCGGGAUAGGAUUUGGGAGGGUAUUACGGGUCGGGUUCCCGGUCAAACGUGCCUGCCUGCCGGCCUUUUGCUUGGGCGCGUAAAACUCGUUUGUUCAGAAGCUUCUGCGGUGUUUCCACGUGGCUGAGACGAGGAUGCCGCG